AUGCUCCCCAGCUGGGCCGGCUGCGGACGCGGGAAGGGAGGUGGUGGCGACUGACGGAACUGGGUGAAGCUUCUGCAGAUGGCCUCCCCUCUCUGCGACUGGUUCCUUAUCGAGGCAAUGGAGAUGUGGACUGCGGUGACUGAUCAAGCCUCACAUAUCUACUGAAUCAGGAAGCCCGAAGGCCUGAGGCCUCCCGAGUGGCCCCAUGGGAGCGUCGUGCAUUUUUCUGGGCCCGAUGACGAUGCUGGCCUGGCGGGGGACUUGGCUGACCCGGCCUCCGCACAGGUGGACUAGUUCACAGAGCUUGGCCACUGGGGGGCUGCUGGCAGGCGAGACAAACAUCGCUGGCUGGUCGGCAAAGAGGGUUCCGCGGUACGGCCCUGCAGACAAGUGGCACUCGCUUCGGCACAGCUGUGGGGCAGACAGAGAUAGAAUUACAGAGCAUAAUAAAUACCGAGCCUCAGCAGCUUUCAUGUGCCUUGCAGGAGACAGUGGCAGCAGGGGCAAAUGAUUCUUCCUGGAUGGUGACUUUAACAAAGACUUCUUCUGGGGGGCACCGAUCUCCACCUGGCCAUGUCUUCAAGCCCAAGGAGAAGUCCCAGGAUGGGUCUGAGCUAAUCACGGUGAUCGCAAUACAAAUGACUGCGCUAAGCAUGGCACAGCUGGCCUCAAUCCUGGCCAAUGCAACGUGAGAAUCAAUUGCUGGUGGGAUUCUGGGGGAGUUUUUCUCACUGUUAUAAACAGAUGCAAAGCAGAAAUACUUCUCUUUGCUGGACACUGUCAUGUCUAAUGUGACGCCUGGAUCACUGAAGCCCCCAGAGGCCACGGGACACGCUGAAAAUGGCCCAGUGGGAAGGCGGAAAGCCUUGGGUCCUGAAAAACACUUCUAAGUCACUGACGGACCAAACUGAAAUCAUCCUUUAUUUUGUUCUUUUCAUGUCAGAAAAAAAGACCCCUAAAUUCUUUAAGUGACUUUUUUGUUAAGUUUUUGUUUCUAGAAGCCCAAAAUAUCCUAAUAAUAAUAAUUUUAAAUAAUCCACCUAUUUUUGGAAAUAGCUUGUUCAUCAUUGAGAUUAUGAAUAAUAGAUCAGUUCUCACCCCUGCCUUCCCCACCAUUUACCAGAGUUAACAACUGUGAAAAAUUCUCUGUGUAUUUUUAAAAAUCCUGUAAAAUGCACACACAACACACACACACAUUUAUGAUAAUGCUUGUUCUUAACCAAAAACUGAGAUCUAAUCUCUAUCUCACUAUAUGGAUAAGCAGUAAAUAAACCUUUUUGUAAUGCAGUAGAAAAGGAAAUCAACCUCUCGAAUGUUUAGGAUGUGACUUCAGUAGCUAGUUUCUUUGUGCUGUGACACUGCCUUCAGAAUUCUGAUCUUGGCCAAUUUUCCUAUCCAGCAAAUAAAGCACCAUUUCCCCCACACUGGUACAUUUUAAAAAGUUAGCUGUGAAUUCUAAGCUGCAAAUAUUAGAUGCAGCAGGCGGUGUUCUCAUUGUAUCACCACUGGCUCUCGCCAAGGAGCCUGUGUGUUACCUGGAGAUCAAGGCGAAAAGCCUCAAACGCACAAAUUCUGAAGUCAACUUGCUGUUUAUUAUUUUCAUGGAUUUUUCAAUACCCUUGGUAAUCGCAAUUUACAGCAAUGUGCUCUAAACUCUAACUUCAGCUGGGCAAAGUGGCUAACACCUGUAAUCCCAGCACUUUGGGAGGCUGAGGUAGUUGGAUUGCUUAAGCCCAGGAGUUUGAGACCAGCCUGGGCAACAUAGGCAGACCCCAUCUAGAUAGAUAGAAAGAUAGAUAGAUAGAUAGAUAGAUAGAUAGAUAGAUAGAUAGAUUAGAUAGAUAGAUAGAUAGAUGGAUGAUAGACAGACAGACAGACAGACAUAGAUAAGCAAGCCCGGCAUGGUGUCACAUGCCUAUAGUUUCCGCUACUUGGGAGGCUGAGGUGGGAGGAUCACUUGAGCCCAGGAAGUUGAGGCUGCAGUGAACUGUGAUUGUGACCCUUCACUCCAGCGUGGGUGACAGAGCGAGACCCUGUCUCAAAACAAUACAACUCCCCACCCCCAACAAAAACCAAUGAUUCUAAUUUCAUUGCAAACCUUUACACACACACACACAUGCACACACCCCAGAAACAGGAGUGCGUGCAGGACAUGUGGAGGGGACAGACGUAAGUUGGGGAACGAUGGCUCGGUGGCAUCGUGUUGUUUUAUUUUUGUUGUUACCUCAGUGAAAACCUCAGAUAUAACCAGGCUCAUCUAUUUAUAUAUUGACCCAGAAGUUUCUAGCUAAAAAAUGUUAAAAGAUAAUUUUUUAAAAAUCAUAACUUUUGGGAAGCUGAGGCAGAAGAAUGGUGUGAACCUGGGAGGAGGAGCUUGCAGUGAGCCGAGAUUGCGCCACUGUACUCCAGCCUGGGCGACAGAACGAGAUUCCACCUCAAAAAAAACAAAAAAAAAAACAAAAAAAACACCCCCCCCCCACCAAAAAACCCAUAACUUUCAUACAGGUAUAAAAUAAACAACAGUGUAUUCAUUUUACUUAACUCAAAUGCUAUAACUGGUUCAAAGGACAAUCCGAAGAACACAUUUAAUGAUUAGGAAUACUGAUAUAAACUUGCUAAUGGACAAAAAAUAUUGGCUUUCCUACAAGGUAGGAAGCAUUCCCUCUACCAGACAGAAUUCAUUUCCUGCCCACAGACAAGCGCGUUUGCAUUGCCAGCAGCUAUUUACAACUUAUGAAGCUGUAAAACAGCUCCCAAGCAAUGAAGGCUGCAAGCAGAUAAGGUGGCAGGCCGUGAGCAGGCCUCAAAUGGAGUUUUACAGUGAAGCACAAAUGUUCCCCUACAGAACCCAAGAUGUCUCUUUAAAAGAAAUCAUGAAAGAAGAGGGGAUUAAGUGGAGCUUAUGGACUGCUCCAGGGUUAAGUGGCCUCCAAAAUAAACAACAGGACUGCUCAGUAGUCAGAGUGAAUUUUGGGUGGGGUUUGAAAGAGUUCCAGCUUUCCUCUGCUAAUGGUGACAUAAAAUGUUCAUUUCAUACCCAUGCAUAUACACUGAUGUAUACAUGUAGUUGAGGAGGCAGUGGCAGAAGCCAGAAGGCUUUCUCUGCCAUGAGCUCCUCCUAGGAGCCCUGGGUUGCAGAGGGUGAGGACUGCUAGGAAAGUCCGUCAGUUAAGGCCGAAGGGACAUUAGCUUUGCCUUAAACCACAUUGGCUGUGCUUGCCUUUGUGUCUUCACCUGAUUUAAUGGGUUUUAGCUCACACUCUCCGAAUCUAUUUACCUCCAAGUCAGUUAAGGCAGACUGUACUGUUGACAAAGCUAAGCAGAACAGAAUUUCCCCAUGGCUUCUAGCUUCAAGGAAUCCCAGCUAUUUAUCCAUCACCAAGAAAUGAAGCCCCAUGGGUGGCUGACGGUUCAUUUACUCCAGCCCAGGGUGUUGGAUUUCAAUUAGUGCAUUCGCUUUUCCCUCUAGGCAGAGCUCACCCUUUAAAGUCGCUCCUUGGCCUGCUAACUGUCUUAAGAUGCACUUUCCCAUCUCAACAAUGAUACAGGACGUGUCUUACAGGGCUGUAGUUCUCAUUCACAGCAUUCUUCCUCUGAGUGGUCCAGGAAAUACUCGCAGGCCUUACAGUCAAGUCACCUUAGAUUUAAAGUACGGAAUACGCGAAACCUUCCUAACUGGUAAAGCGCUCAGUAAUGCAAGCUCUGGGUGCAACUCAGUGGUUCUUAGUAUAGUCAGAGUUAUGCGAUCAUCAGCACAAUCUACUCACACCCUCCUCGAGGUAUUAAAUAAAUAUUUCAGAAUCCACAAUGCAGCCAAUCUCAUCAAUAACUUUACUGAAUCCUGUAGCCCAGCACUCAGGGGUUCUCUAAAACCCUGCCCCGCCUUCCCCUCCAAUUGCGGUGCCCACUGUCUCUUUUAAAUAGACUCUGUCCUCAUCAAGCCUGUUCUCUGUCCCCCAAAUAUGCCGUAUCAUUCCUUAAUGCAUGCAUUUUUUCCCCAGUUCCCUACAAUCUUAUAAUUAGUGGUUACGCUAAUCUAUAUGUGUGUUUAAACUCAUAGAAUUGUAUACAAAAAAGUCAACUGUACUGUGUACACACAUUUAAAAGAUAAAAUGUGUUCUUUUAACGCUUA